rnacentral:piRNA from 1 species
GUUUGAUUCUAUUUGUGCAC